GUGAUUAUUAGCAAAGGGACUGCAGGAAGGCAGGGAAAUAGGCUGUUGUUACUAUCUGAGUGGAGAGAUUUGGGAGGCUGACAAGCCCAGAGAACAGGGAAGCCAGAUGAGUAGGAAGAAGCCCAGGGAAACAGCAACAAGGGGUAUGACCAUGCAGAGACCUUGGCUGCUUGCUAUAGGGUCCCUGGUUGGAACCCAGUGUUGAGGGAAGGCCUAGAUUCCUCUAGCAACCACUGGGAAGUAGCAAGGGUAUUAGAGAUGCCAGCCAGCAGCCUGGAAGGACUUUGAAUUGCCCUGAAGGGGAGGACCUUAGUCCUUAGCCAGAGGGUCAAACCAUGAAGAGCAGAUUGCAGAUCCAAGAGUGAGUGAGGCUGCAGGAUCAGACAGGAUGGGGAAAAUGCCACCAGAGGGAGAGCACAAACCUGGUAGAGCUAAUUUCCAGGAUGGCCAGCAGGAGGUGCCACUAGCGGGAUUGGAUCAGGCCCCAUUCUACUAGUGGGAAACUAUCUACAGAGAAGAGGAAAAUUUGGUUGUGAUGUGUGUGGCCUAUGACCACAGUCCCCUGCACAACAGCUAGUGGCAGGGAGCAAUGAAACCAGGCAGUCUCUGAAGACAGUGAGUUCCCCUGCCCUGAGUCAGCAUGAUGUUCAGUGUACUCUUAUGAAGUCGGUGCACUUGCCUCCUUAUCUUUUAUGGAAAAGUCCUGUGAAAUUCAAUAAAAAUAACUUUU